rnacentral:rRNA from 1 species
AGUCAAAGCUUAGUUAUAAUAUUCAACAAAUCCCCAAAACAAAUUGAAAACCCCCGGUUAUACUGAAUAAUUCCAUACAUCUAUGGAAGCUAUUAUGUUAAAACUAGUAACAUGAAGAUACCUUCUCUUAAAUGUAAACGUAAGUCAGGAUGGACCAUACACUGACAAUUAACAGCUUAAACUAAAGUGAUAACCAACCCAAGAAAAUCUCACUAACUCAUCUGUUAACCUAACACAAGAACACUUAAAGAACGACUCAAAGAAAAAGAAGGAACUCGGCAAAAACUGAUUCCGCCUGUUUACCAAAAACAUCGCCUCCUGAAUAUAGACCAUAGGAGGUCCAGCCUGCCCAGUGACUCUGUUUAACGGCCGCGGUAUCCUAACCGUGCGAAGGUAGCGUAAUCACCUGUUUUUUAAUUAAAGACCUGUAUGAAAGGCAUCACGAGAAUCACACUGUCUCCUUUUUCAAGUCAGUGAAACUAAUCUCCUCGUGAAAAAGCGAGGAUACCUCUACAAGACGAGAAGACCCUUUGGAGCUUAAGACAAAUAAAUAUCUGCCCACUUGCACCCCCCCCCACACCUCACAGCACUAUAUUUACAAGUCUUGGGUUGGGGCAACCGCGGAAUAAAAACAAACCUCCAAGCUGAACGGAAAUUUCCUAAACAAAAAGCAACAGCUUUAUGAAUCAGCAAACUGACACAAUUUGACCCAAUAUAUUUUGAUUAACGAACUAAGUUACCCUAGGGAUAACAGCGCAAUCCACUUCAAGAGUUCAUAUCGAAAAGUGGGCUUACGACCUCG